rnacentral:rRNA from 1 species
UACGUAGGGGGCAAGCGUUAUCCGGAUUUACUGGGUGUAAAGGGAGCGUAGACGGCUUUGCAAGCCAGAUGUGAAAGCCCGGGGCUCAACCCCGGGACUGCAUUUGGAACUGUGUGGCUAGAGUGUCGGAGAGGCAGGCGGAAUUCCUAGUGUAGCGGUGAAAUGCGUAGAUAUUAGGAGGAACACCAGUGGCGAAGGCGGUCUGCUAGACAGCAACUGACGCUGAGGCGCGAAAGCGUGGGGAGCAAACAGG